rnacentral:rRNA from 1 species
GACGAACGCUGGCGGCGUGCUUAACACAUGCAAGUCGAACGGAAAGGCCCCUUUGGGGGUACUCGAGUGGCGAACGGGUGAGUAACACGUGAGUAACCUGCCCUUGACUUCGGGAUAACUUCAGGAAACUGGGGCUAAUACCGGAUAGGAAUCCUUGCUGCCUGGUGGGGGUUGGAAAGCUUCGGGGGUUUUGGAUGGACUCGCGGCUUAUCAGCUUGUUGGUGGGGUAGUGGCUUACCAAGGCUUUGACGGGUAGCCGGCCUGGGAGGGCGACCGGCCACAUUGGGGCUGGGAUACGGCCCCGACUCCUACGGGAGGCAGCAGGGGGGAAUAUUGCACAAUGGGCGGAAGCCUGAAGCAGCAACGCCGCGUGCGGGAUGACGGCCUUCGGGUUGUAAACCGCUUUCAGCAGGGGCGAAGCUUGUGGUGACGGUACCUGCAGAAGAAGCACCGGCUAACUACGUG